GGCCAGACUCCUACGGGAGGCAGCAGUGAGGGAUAUUGGUCAAUGGGGGAAACCCUGAACCAGCAACGCCGCGUGAGGGAAGACGGUUUUCGGAUUGUAAACCUCUGUCCUCUGUGAAGAUAAUGACGGUAGCAGAGGAGGAAGCUCCGGCUAACUACGUGCCAGCAGCCGCGGUAAUACGUAGGGAGCAAGCGUUGUCCGGAUUUACUGGGUGUAAAGGGCGUGUAGGCGGGCUUGCAAGUCAGAUGUGAAAUUCCAGGGCUCAACCCCGGGACUGCUCUUGGAACUGCGCGGCUGGAGUGCAGGAGGGGCAGGCGGAAUUCCUGGUGUAGCGGUGAAAUGCGUAGAUAUCAGGAGGAACACCGGUGGCGAAGGCGGCCUGCUGGACUGCGACUGACGUUGAGGCCCGAAAGCGUGGGGAGCAAACAGGAUUAGAUACCCUCGUAA
rnacentral:rRNA from 1 species